GUUUCCGUGGUGUAGUGGUUAUCACGCGUGCCUCACACGCACGAGGUCCCCGGUUCGAUCCCGGGCGGAAACA